UACGAAGGGGGCUAGCGUUGCUCGGAAUCACUGGGCGUAAAGGGUGCGUAGGCGGGUCUUUAAGUCAGGGGUGAAAUCCUGGAGCUCAACUCCAGAACUGCCUUUGAUACUGAAGAUCUUGAGUUCGGGAGAGGUGAGUGGAACUGCGAGUGUAGAGUUGAAAUUCGUAGAUAUUCGGAAGAACACCAGUGGCGAAGGCGGCUCACUGGCCCGGUACUGACGCUGAGGUGCGAAAGCGUGGGGAGCAAACAGG
rnacentral:rRNA from 1 species